UUGGAGGGGCAAGUCUGGUGCCAGCAGCCGCGGUAAUUCCAGCUCCAAUAGCGUAUAUUAAAGUUGUUGCAGUUAAAAAGCUCGUAGUUGAAUUUCGGGGUUAGUAGGUUGGUCAUGCCUCCGGUAUGUACUGGUCUCACUGAUUCCUCCUUCCUGAUGAACCGUAAUGCCAUUAAUUUGGUGUUGCGGGAAUUUGGACUGUUACUUUGAAAAAAUUAGAGUGUUUAAAGCAAGCUAACGCUUGAAUACAUUAGCAUGGAAUAAUGAAAUAGGACG
rnacentral:rRNA from 1 species